AGCUCGUUUCGUGAGAGUGGUCGGUUAAGUCCGGCAACGAGCGCAACCUUUGUUCCUAGUUGCCAUCAGGUGAAGCUGGGCACUCUAGGAAGACCCGGCGAUAAGCUGGAGGAAGGUGGGGAUGACGUCAAGUCCUCAUGGCCUUUAUGGCCAGGGCUACACACGUACUACAAUGGCCGGUACAAAGGGCAGCGACAUUGUAAGAUGGAGCGAAUCCCGUAAAGCCGGUCUCAGUCCGGAUUGGAGUCUGCAACUCGACUCCAUGAAGUCGGAUCGCUAGUAUCGCGANUCAGCAAUGUCGCGGU
rnacentral:rRNA from 1 species